AACUGCUGAACUCAAUAAAACUCCCUCUUCGGCUGGCCAAAAGCGACGUCUCCUCAUCUUUUUUUUUUUUUCAUCUUGACAACAGAGAAUUGCUGCCCCUUCAACAACAAUCUGCCUUGUAAUACUGCUCCACUACAUCUACACUCUCAUCUCCAUCUCUACUUACUGUGCAGGCCUUCUCCACUAU